GAUGAACGCUGGCGGCGUGCCUAAUACAUGCAAGUCGAGCGAACAGACGAGGAGCUUGCUCCUCUGACGUUAGCGGCGGACGGGUGAGUAACACGUGGAUAACCUACCUAUAAGACUGGGAUAACUUCGGGAAACCGGAGCUAAUACCGGAUAAUAUAUUGAACCGCAUGGUUCAAUAGUGAAAGACGGUUUUGCUGUCACUUAUAGAUGGAUCCGCGCCGCAUUAGCUAGUUGGUAAGGUAACGGCUUAUCAAGGCAGCGAUGCGUAGCCGACCUGAGAGGGUGAUCGGCCACACUGGAACUGAGACACGGUCCAGACUCCUACGGGAGGCAGCAGUAGGGAAUCUUCCGCAAUGGGCGAAAGCCUGACGGAGCAACGCCGCGUGAGUGAUGAAGGUCUUCGGAUCGUAAAACUCUGUUAUUAGGGAAGAACAAAUGUGUAAGUAACUAUGCACGUCUUGACGGUACCUAAUCAGAAAGCCACGGCUAACUACGUG
rnacentral:rRNA from 1 species